UGAGAUAUACUUUAAAAAGAAGGAUGUAGUUUGCAACUAUUCAGUGAUAUAUAGUAUCUAUUUCAG
rnacentral:tRNA from 1 species